rnacentral:rRNA from 1 species
UUAAGUGAAUAAGGGCGCACGGUGGAUGCCUUGGCACUAGGAGCCGAUGAAGGACGGGACUAACACCGAUAUGCUUCGGGGAGCUGUAAGUAAGCUUUGAUCCGGAGAUUUCCGAAUGGGGGAACCCAGCAUCUUUUAUAGGAUGUUACUUUUCAGUGAAUACAUAGCUGAUUAGAGGUAGACGCAGAGAACUGAAACAUCUAAGUACCUGCAGGAAGAGAAAGAAAAAUCGAUUCCCUGAGUAGCGGCGAGCGAAACGGGAAAAGCCCAAACCAAGAGGCUUGCCUCUUGGGGUUGUAGGACUCCGAUAUGGUAGUCCAGUGAGAUAGUCGAAGGACCUGGAAAGGUCUGCUAGAAAGGGUAAAAGCCCCGUAGACAAAAUUUGACUGGCACCUAGGAGGAUCCUGAGUACGGCGGAACACGAGGAAUUCCGUCGGAAUCCGGGAGGACCAUCUCCCAAGGCUAAAUACUCCCUAGUGACCGAUAGUGAACCAGUACCGUGAGGGAAAGGUGAAAAGCACCCCGGAAGGGGAGUGAAAUAGAUCCUGAAACCGUGUGCCUACAACAAGUUAGAGCCCGUUAAUGGGUGAUAGCGUGCCUUUUGUAGAAUGAACCGGCGAGUUACGAUUACUUGCGAGGUUAAGUUGAAAAGACGGAGCCGCAGCGAAAGCGAGUCUGAAUAGGGCGAAUGAGUAAGUGGUCGUAGACCCGAAACCAUGUGAUCUACCCAUGUCCAGGUUGAAGGUGCGGUAAAACGCACUGGAGGACCGAACCCACGUACGUUGAAAAGUGCGGGGAUGAGGUGUGGGUAGCGGAGAAAUUCCAAACGAACUUGGAGAUAGCUGGUUCUCUCCGAAAUAGCUUUAGGGCUAGCCUCAGAGUAAGAAUGAUGGAGGUAGAGCACUGUUUGGACUAGGGGCCCAUCUCGGGUUACCGAAUUCAGAUAAACUCCGAAUGCCAUCCAUUCAUCUCUGGGAGUCAGACUGUGAGUGAUAAGAUCCAUAGUCGAAAGGGAAACAGCCCAGACCACCAGCUAAGGUCCCCAAAUAACUAUUAAGUGGAAAAGGAUGUGGGGUUGCACAGACAACUAGGAUGUUGGCUUAGAAGCAGCCACCAUUUAAAGAGUGCGUAAUAGCUCACUAGUCGAGUGACCCUGCGCCGAAAAUGUACCGGGGCUAAAUAGUUUACCGAAGCUGUGGAACACACCAAUAGGUGUGUUGGUAGGAGAGCGUUCUAAGGGCGUUGAAGGUAGAUCGUGAGGACUGCUGGAGCGCUUAGAAGUGAGAAUGCCGGUAUGAGUAGCGAAAGACAGGUGAGAAUCCUGUCCACCGAAUGACUAAGGUUUCCUGGGGAAGGCUCGUCCGCCCAGGGUUAGUCGGGACCUAAGCCGAGGCCGAAAGGCGUAGGCGAUGGAUAACAGGUUGAUAUUCCUGUACCCGUUGUUUUUGUUUGAGCAAUGGAGGGACGCAGGAGGCUAAGGAAUCAGACGAUUGGAAAUGUCUGUCCAAGCAAUAAGUCUUGAUGUGAGUCAAAUGCUUACGUCUUUAAGGACAAGUUGUGAUGGGGAGGGAAAUAAUAGUACCGAAGUUCCUGAUGUCACACUGCCGAGAAAAGCUUCUAGUGAGAAAACAAUGGCCCGUACCGCAAACCGACACAGGUAGUCGAGGAGAGAAUCCUAAGGUGAGCGAGAGAACUCUCGUUAAGGAACUCGGCAAAAUGACCCCGUAACUUCGGGAGAAGGGGUGCUGAUCUAACGAUCAGCCGCAGUGAAUAGGCCCAAGCGACUGUUUAUCAAAAACACAGGUCUCUGCAAAAUCGAAAGAUGACGUAUAGGGGCUGACGCCUGCCCGGUGCUGGAAGGUUAAGAGGAGUGCUUAGCGUAAGCGAAGGUACGAAUUGAAGCCCCAGUAAACGGCGGCCGUAACUAUAACGGUCCUAAGGUAGCGAAAUUCCUUGUCGGGUAAGUUCCGACCCGCACGAAAGGCGUAACGAUUUGGGCACUGUCUCAACGAGAGACUCGGUGAAAUUUUAGUACCUGUGAAGAUGCAGGUUACCCGCGACAGGACGGAAAGACCCCAUGGAGCUUUACUGCAGUUUGAUAUUGAGUGUUUGUACCACAUGUACAGGAUAGGUAGGAGCCGUAGAAGUCGGGACGCUAGUUUCGACAGAGGCGCUGGUGGGAUACUACCCUUGUGUUAUGACCACUCUAACCCGCACCACUGAUCGUGGUGGGAGACAGUGUCAGAUGGGCAGUUUGACUGGGGCGGUCGCCUCCUAAAGAGUAACGGAGGCGCCCAA